AUGCUGUGAUGAAUUUCACUUCUGGUCCGUGUUUAUGAACCAUGUGAUCUGUAGUGGAAGUGCUGAGGUA
ensembl:snoRNA SNORD18 Small nucleolar RNA SNORD18